rnacentral:ncRNA from 1 species
CAAUAACAGGUCUGUGAUGCCCUUAGAUGUCCUGGGCUGCACGCGCGCUACAAUGAAGGUAUCAACGUGUAUUUCCUAGGCCGAGAGGUCCGGGUAAACCGCUGAACCACCUUCUUGCUUGGGAUUGUGAACUGAAACUGUUCACAUGAACCUGGAAUUCCCAGUAAGUGCGAGUCAUUAACUCGCAUUGAUUACGUCCCUGCCCUUUGUACACACCGCCCGUCGCUACUACCGAUUGAAUUGUUUAGUGAGGUCUCCGGACGUGAUCGCUGCGACGCCUCGUUGUGUUGCAGUUGCUUCACAGAAGUUGACCGAACUUGGUUAUUUAGAGGAAGUAAAAGUCGUAACAAGGUUUCCGUAGGUGAACCUGCGGAAGGAUCAUUA